UCGCUGCAGCAGGCAGGUGGAUGGGCGAUUGGAUGAACAACAGUUGAGAGCUGAGCCCACAGAGUGGAGGAGGAAAGAGAGGCACAUGGAUGGCGACGUGGACACAGUCCACCAGGGCCUGAGAAACCCCACACCUAUGCACUCCUCUGUUUAUCCGGAAAGGAGAGCAUCAGGUUUGAGGAGGAAUGGAACCUAAAACAAAUAUCUUCCCUAAAUGGGGAAUUAAUGAGACCCGUUGCCUCGGCUCUCCAGUCCCUGCUCCUCACACAGAGUGCACCUAGUGAGCUGGCGGUGGCCUGAUGGCAGGUACAGGCCAGACAUCAGGCCCCAGGGGUCUGGAGCGGGCAGGAGGUGAAUGACAGGACAUGGCGUGAAGCAAUCAAUUUAUAUGGAGGACAUGAGUGAGAUCAGAAGAGGCCGCUGAACGCUGGACUUGAGCCAAGCAUGGGGUGCCCGGACCCGCUCUUGACUCACAGGAGCUGGACCUCGGGUCAUCCCAAGCCACUCCUGGCUUAUGGUGGGAGCGCACAUGUUCCAAAACCCAGGACAGUGAGGACUGUAUUUGGGGCAGAGUAAGAAGAAAUGGAUCAGGGCAACAUACAAAAGAUCUAAAGAAAAUAAGUAAAGGCUUAAUUCUUGUUUUGAACAUAA